AUGUUCCGAGACAAGGCCAAAACCAGCCCCAGUGUCUUCCCACUGAGCCUCAGCAGCCCUGACAAAGCUGGACACGUGGUCAUCGCCUGCCUGGUCCAGGGCUUCUUCCCGCCAGAGCCCGUGAAUGUGAUCUGGAGCCCCAGCAAGGAGGGUGCGUCCGUCAGGAACUUCCCCCCAGUGAAGGCUGCUGGGAGCCUGUACACCAUGAGCAGCCAGCUGACCCUGCCGGCCAACCAGUGCCCUGACACCUCGUCCCUGGAAUGCCAAGUGCAGCACUCCUCCAGCCCCAAGAAGACUGUGUCCGUGCCAUGCAUAGUUCCAGGGCCUAACUGCUCUUGUAAAUGUCCCUCGUGUGAGGAGCCCCGCCUGUCACUGCACCAGCCCGCCCUCGAGGACCUGCUUCUGGGCUCCAAUGCCAGCCUCACGUGCACGCUGAGCGGCCUGAAAGACCCCAAGGGUGCCUCCUUCACCUGGAAGCCCUCCGGGGGCAAGGAUGCCAUCCAGAAGAGCCCUGAGCGUGACCCCUGCGGCUGCUACAGCGUGUCCAGUGUGCUGCCAGGCUGUGCGGAGCCAUGGAACCGUGGGGAGACCUUCUCCUGCACGGCCACCCACCCCGAGUCCAAGAGCCCGAUGACUGUCAACAUCAGCAAAACCAUAGGAAACACUUUCCGGCCCCAGGUCCACCUGCUGCCGCCGCCGUCGGAGGAGUUGGCCCUCAACGAGCUGGUGUCGCUGACCUGCUUCGUGAGGGGCUUCAGUCCCAAGGACGUGCUGAUCCGCUGGCUGCAGGGGACCCAGGAGCUGCCCCCAGAGAAGUACAUGACCUGGGAGCCCCUGGAGGAGCCCGGCCAGAGCGUCCCCACCUUCGCUGUGACCAGUGUGCUGAGGGUAGACGCCGAGGCCUGGAAGCAGGGGGACAAGUUCUCCUGCAUGGUGGGCCACGAGGCCCUGUCCCUAUCCUUCACCCAGAAGACGAUCGACCGCCUGGCGGACCCACAGUGUCUUGCAGAUUGCCGGGAACCACUUCCCUGGCUGGUGCUGGACCUGCCACAGGAGGACCUGGAGGAAGACGCCCCAGGAGCCAGCCUGUGGCCUACCACCGUCACCCUGCUCACCCUCUUCCUACUGAGUCUCUUCUACAGCACAGCACUGACUGUGACAAGCGUGCGGGGCCCAGCUGACAGCAGAGAGGGCCCCCAGUACUGAGCAGAGGCCAGCCAGGCACAGGGAGGAAUCUGGAGGAGCCUCCUGGAACCCCAGCUGGAUGCCAGAGCUCAGCCCUGCUCAGAAGCUGCCCACUCACCCCACACGCAGGCCUUGCUGGUGCAAUAAACUGAUC